UAUAGUGAUAGUAGUUCCACUCGAUGUGGAUCGCGCCCAUGCUUGCUCAGCUCCAGGAUCAGGCUCCUAAACCUAUUUUCAAUAAGUCAUCUGGUCUAUGUUGUUGGAGUUCCGCAUGAUGCCUUAAUCCCACCUCUGUGUCUAAGGAAUAGCCUUUUCUUCUUUUCUUUAUUGUUCGUGGGAACAUGUAAGAUUAGCAAUGGAAAUUGA
rnacentral:rRNA from 1 species